GGCUGGCUGUUGCUGGCCUUUUGGGCAUGUGCACGCGCCUAUUCUGACUUUAUAACCACCUGUGCACUUUGUGUAGAUCUGAAGAACCUUCGAGGUCAACUCGGUUUAAAGGAUUGCCGUCAGCCAUGCCGGCUUUCCUUUAUAUUUCAGAUCUAUGUUUUACUAUACUCCACAUUUUAUGUACUUGAAUGAUAUGAUUGGGCAUUAUGAUUUUUGCCUGUAAAACAAUAUACAACUUUCAACAACGGAUCUCUUGGCUCUCGCAUCGAUGAAGAACGCAGCGAAAUGCGAUAAGUAAUGUGAAUUGCAGAAUUCAGUGAAUCAUCGAAUCUUUGAACGCACCUUGCGCUCCUUGGUAUUCCGAGGAGCAUGCCUGUUUGAGUGUCGUGAAAUUCUCAACCAUUCAAAGCUUUUGAAGCUAGUUUGGCUUGGAUCUUGGGAGUUUGCUGGUUCUAUUGAGUCGGCUCUCCUUAAAUGUAUUAGCAAGAUUGGUCGCUGAGCUAUUGUUGAUAUGAUAACUUAUCUAUAUCAUUAAUGAAACAGUGCCUUCCUUCGUGGAAAGAUCUGGCUUUCUAACUGUCUAUUAAGACAAC
rnacentral:misc_RNA from 1 species